GUUAAAAAGCUCGUAGUCGGAUUUUGGCCGAGAACGGUCGGUCCGCCGUUAGGUGUGCACUGACUGGUCUCAGCUUCCUGGUGAGGAGGUGUGCUUCAUCGCCACUUAGUCACCGUGGUUACUUUGAAAAAAUUAGAGUGUUCAAAGCGGGCUUACGCUUGAAUAUAUUAGCAUGGAAUAACACCAUAGGACUCCUGUCCUAUUUCGUUGGUCUCGGGACGGGAGUAAUGAUUAAGAGGAACAGUUGGGGGCAUUCGUAUUUCAUUGUCAGAGGUGAAAUUCUUGGAUUUAUGAAAGACGAACUUCUGCGAAAGCAUUUGCCAAGGAUGUUUUCAUUGAUCAAGAACGAAAGUUGGGGGCUCGAAGAUGAUUAGAUACCAUCCUAGUCUCAACCAUAAACGAUGCCGACUAGGGAUUGGCGGAUGUUAAUUGAUGACUUCGCCAGCACCUUAUGAGAAAUCAAAGUUUUUGGGUUCCGGGGGGAGUAUGGUCGCAAGGCUGAAACUUAAAGGAAUUGACGGAAGGGCACCACCAGGCGUGGAGCCUGCGGCUUAAUUUGACUCAACACGGGGAAACUUACCAGGUCCAGACAUAGUAAGGAUUGACAGAUUGAGAGCUCUU
rnacentral:rRNA from 1 species